AAGUUCGUGGUCAAGCUACUAAGAGCGAACGGUGGAUGCCUUGGCGCCGGGAAGCGAUGAAGGACGUGGCAAGCUGCGAUAAGCCUCGGGGAGCCGCAAGCAGGCAUCGAUCCGAGGAUGUCCGAAUGGGGGAACCUGGGCGGAGUAAUGUCCGCUCGUCCCUGACUGAAUCCAUAGGUCAGGGCACGCGAACCGGGGGAACUGAAACAUCUCAGUACCUCGAGGGAAAAGAAAUCAACCGAGAUUGCCCAAGUAGCGGCGAGCGAACGGGCAACAGCCUAAACCAGAUCCGAGCAAUCGGGUCUGGGGUUGCGGGGCGCUCAUAGGGGAAACCCGGAGAGUUACCAAGUCAGGCGAUAGUCGAAGGCUCUGGAAAGUGCCGCCAAAGACGGUGAUAGCCCGGUAGACGAAAUCGCACUGAUCUCUCUGAUGAGCGUUCCCAAGUACUACGGGACACGUGAAACCCCGUAGGAAUCUGGGGGGCCCACCCUCCAAGGCUAAAUAUUCCCCGGCGACCGAUAGUGAACCAGUACCGUGAGGGAAAGGCGAAAAGAACCCCGGUGAGGGGAGUGAAAUAGAACCUGAAACCGUUCGCUUACAAGCGGUAGGAGGGCUAUGCCGUCGCAAGACGGAAGGCCUGACUGCGUGCCUUUUGCAUAAUGAGCCGGCGAGUUGCUGGUACGUGGCGAGGUUAAGCGUCGAAGGCGCGGAGCCGUAGCGAAAGCGAGUCCGAAUAGGGCGAUAAGUCGCGUGCCGCAGACCCGAAGCCAAGUGAUCUACCCCUGACCAGGGUGAAGCUGCCGUAACAGGCGGUGGAGGCCCGAACCGGUGUUGGUUGAAAACAGCUCGGAUGAGUUGGGGGUCGGAGUGAAAGGCUAAUCAAACUUGGAGAUAGCUGGUUCUCCCCGAAAUAUCUUUAGGGAUAGCCUCGUGUGUGACGCGUGGUGGUAGAGCUCUGAAUGGGCUAGGGGUCCUACCAGAUUACCAACCCCAAUCAAACUCCAAAUGCCAUGCGUUUGAGCACGGGAGUCAGUCGACGCGGGAUAAGCUGCGUGGACGAGAGGGAAACAACCCAGAUCGCCAGCUAAGGUCCCUAAGUGCGUGCUUAGUGGGAAACGAUGUGGGGUCGCUCAGACAGCCAGGAGGUUGGCUUAGAGGCAGCCAUCCUUUAAAGAGUGCGUAACAGCUCACUGGUCAAGCGAUCCUGCGCGGACAAUUCAACGGGGCUCAAGCACGCCACCGAAGCUGCGAGCUCAGUAGGGAGACCUGCUGAGCGGUAGGGGAGCAUUCCGCGAUAGGUUGAAGGCCGACCGCGAGGACGGCUGGACGAUGCGGAAGAGAUAAUGCCGGCACGAGUAGCGAUAAAGCAGGUGAAAAACCUGCUCGCCGAAAGCCCAAGGGUUCCUGGGGAAGGUUAAUCCGCCCAGGGUUAGGCGGUCCCUAAGCCGAGGCCGACAGGCGUAGGCGAAGGACAACAGGUUAAUAUUCCUGUUCCGCCGUGGUGACGUUAUGAGCAAUGGGGGGACGGAGAAGGUUAGGCACCGCCCGCGAUCGGAAGUGCGGGUCCAAACGCGUAGGGAGCUCUGAUAGGCAAAUCCGUCGGAGCGCCGCAAGGCAAUCCUGAAACGUGAUGGGGAGGCCUUCGGGCCAUAAACGGGCCGAUACCAUGCUUCCAAGAAAAUCCUCUAGCCAGUUGCCAAGGCGACCGUACCGGAAACCGACACAGGUGGGCGAGGAGAAUAUCCACAGGCGCUCGGGAGAACUCUCGCGAAGGAACUAGGCAAAAUAACCCCGUAACUUAGGGAGAAGGGGUGCCGCAGUAGGGUGUCAAAGCCCGAAGCGGUCGCAGUGAAAAGGGCCAAGCGACUGUUUACUAAAAACACAGGACUCUGCCAACUCGUAAGAGGAGGUAUAGGGUCUGACGCCUGCCCGGUGCCGGAAGGUUAAGGAGAGGGGUUAGUGCCCGCAAGGGUGCGAAGCUCUGAACCGAA
rnacentral:rRNA from 1 species